GAAAGGAGCUACGCACUGAACGACGAGUGUGAACCCCGAACACUGAUCCGUCCUAUCGCUCUCUGAAACAAAUAAACUCUUGUUAGUCAUGGGGCCGUCCUCUGGAUUCCUGCUGGUACUGAUUGGAGUCUCCUUCAUACUAACGCAUGCUGGACCAGUUGCUGACACUGAGUGCCCACCAAAUCAAGAGUACCAACAGUGCGGGACCGCCUGCCCACUUACAUGCAGCAAUGUGAACAACAAACUCCAGAUGUGCACCCUGCAAUGUGUCCCUGGAUGUUUCUGUAAGAGCGGAUAUAUAUUUCUGGAGGGGGGUGAUCACCCCACUUGUGUCCUUCCCCAGGAUUGCCCCUCUAGAAAAUAAACAUCCAAAUCGGGCCUUACCGGGUAAAGGCUUCCUGUGAAAUACGUCCCCCCCCCCCCUCCCUCUCAGAAUGCAGAAGAUUACAGAGAGAUAAAAUAAAGACAGGCUCUGGUACUUAUACUAGUUAUACAAAUAGUUUUUUUUAUAUAUGUUUUAAUGUUGGCCAUACCUUUGGUGGUUGUUUCAAAGCGUUAUUAAAUUCAAAACCAAAAAUGGAAUAUAUUGACAGAGUAGGAAGAAGGGGGU